GAGUGAAAAAGAACCUGAAACCGUGUACGUACAAGCAGUGGGAGCCUCUUAAUGGGGUGACUGCGUACCUUUUGUAUAAUGGGUCAGCGACUUAUAUUCUGUAGCAAGGUUAACCGAAUAGGGGAGCCGAAGGGAAACCGAGUCUUAACUGGGCGUUAAGUUGCAGGGUAUAGACCCGAAACCCGGUGAUCUAGCCAUGGGCAGGUUGAAGGUUGGGUAACACUAACUGGAGGACCGAACCGACUAAUGUUGAAAAAUUAGCGGAUGACUUGUGGCUGGGGGUGAAAGGCCAAUCAAACCGGGAGAUAGCUGGUUCUCCCCGAAAGCUAUUUAGGUAGCGCCUCGUGAAUUCAUCUCCGGGGGUAGAGCACUGUUUCGGCAAGGGGGUCAUCCCGACUUACCAACCCGAUGCAAACUGCGAAUACCGGAGAAUGUUAUCACGGGAGACACACGGCGGGUGCUAACGUCCGUCGUGAAGAGGGAAACAACCCAGACCGCCAGCUAAGGUCCCAAAGUCAUGGUUAAGUGGGAAACGAUGUGGGAAGGCCCAGACAGCCAGGAUGUUGGCUUAGAAGCAGCCAUCAUUUAAAGAAAGCGUAAUAGCUCACUGGUCGAGU
rnacentral:rRNA from 1 species